UACAGAGGUGGCAAGCGUUGUUCGGAAUUACUGGGCGUAAAGGGCGCGUAGGCGGUUCGUUAAGUCCUGUGUGAAAUCCCCCGGCUCAACUGGGGAACUGCACAGGAAACUAGCGGGCUUGAGUUCGGGAGAGGGAAGCGGAAUUCCGGGUGUAGCGGUGAAAUGCGUAGAUAUCUGGAGGAACACCGGUGGCGAAGGCGGCGUUCUGGACUGCAACUGACACUGAGUGAACGAAAGCCAGGGGAGCAAACGGG
rnacentral:rRNA from 1 species